CCUACGGGGUGCAGCAGUGGGGAAUAUUGCGCAAUGGGCGAAAGCCUGACGCAGCGACGCCGCGUGAGGGAUGAAGGUCUUCGGAUCGUAAACCUCUGUCAGCAGGGAAGAACGGUCACUGUGCUAAUCAGCAGUGAAUUGACGGUACCUGCAAAGGAAGCACCGGCUAACUCCGUGCCAGCAGCCGCGGUAAUACGGAGGGUGCGAGCGUUAAUCGGAAUUACUGGGCGUAAAGCGCUCGUAGGCGGUAUGUCAAGUCAAGGGUGAAAUCCCCGCGCUCAACGUGGGAACUGCCUUUGAUACUGGCAAACUGGAGUGUGUGAGAGGAUAGUGGAAUUCCAGGUGUAGGAGUGAAAUGCGUAGAUAUCUGGAGGAACAUCAGUGGCGAAGGCGACUAUCUGGCACAUAACUGACGCUGAGGAGCGAAAGCGUGGGUAGCAAACAGGAUUAGAUACCCUUGUAGUC
rnacentral:rRNA from 1 species